UGUCACUGUGUUGGUGUCACCGCAUUGGUGUCCCUGUUGGUGUCACCAUGUUGGUGUCACCGUGUUGCUGUCCGUGUUGGUGUCACCGUGUUGGUGUCCCUGUUGGUAUCACCAUGUUAUUGUCACCGUGUUGGUGUCUCUGUGUUGGUGUCACUGUGUUGCUGUCCCUGCUUGUGUCACCAUGUUGGUGUCCCUGUUGCUGUCCCUGUUGGUGUCACCGUGUUGGUGUCACCACAUUGGUGUCCCUGUUGGUGUCACCAUGUUGGUGUCCCCAUGUUGCUGUCACCACGUUGGUGUCCCUGCUGCUGUCACCGUGUUGCUGUCCCUGUUGGUGUCACCAUGUUGCUGUCCCUGCUGGUGUCACCGUGUUGCUGUCCCUGCUGGUGUUGCCGUGCCGGUGUCCCUGCCGGUGACACAGCGGUUGUCCCCGCGCAGCGGCUCGGUGGACGACGAGGAGGAGAUGCUGUACGGGGACUCGGGGGCCCCUCGCAGCCCCCCCCGUGAGGAUCCGCGCCGCGGAGCCGCCACCCAACCGGAGCGCGACCGGCAGAACCGGGCCGAGCCCAGCCACUGGGCGCUGCUGGUCCGCGACAACGGCGCCAUGGAGGUGGGGCUGCCGCCAACUGCUGUCACCUCCCUGCCACCGGAUGUCACCUCCGUCCCCUCCUUUCCCCUCCCUGUCACCUCCUGUCCCCCCCAUGUCACCUCCUGUCCCGUGUCACCAAAUGGCCCCUGUAGCACCUCCUUUCCCCUCCAUGUCACCAAAUGUCACUUCUGUCACCAAAUGUCACCUCCCUGUCAGCUCCUGUUCCCUCCGUCCCCUCCUUUCCCCUCCCUGUCACCUCCUGUCCCCUCCCUGUCACCUCCUGUCCCCUGUGUCACCAAAUGGCCCCUCUGUCACCUCCUUUCCCCUCCCUGUCACCUCCUGUCCCCCGUGUCCGAAUGUCCUCCACAUCACCAGAUAUCCCCUCCCUGUCACCCCAUGUCCCCUCCAUGUCAUCUCCUGUCCCCUCCAUCAUUUCCUGUCCUCUCUGCCACCAAAUGUCUCCUGUCACCUCCUUUCCCCACCAGAUGUCCCCUCCAUGUCACCUCCUGUCCCCUCCAUCAUCUCCUGUCCUCUCUGCCACCAAAUGUCUCCUGUCACCUCCUGUCCCCUCCCUGUCACCUCCUGUCCCCUGUGUCACCAAAUGUCCCAUUAGGCACCAAAUGGCCCCUGUCACCAGUGUCCCUUCUGUGUCACCACCUGUCCCCUCCCUGUCACCAAAUAUCCCAUGUCACCAAAUAUCCACCCCGUCACCAAAUGUCCCCUCCCUGUCACCAGAUGUCACCUCUGUCACCUCCUGUCCCCUCCAUCACUCCCUUUCCCCGCCCCGUCACCUGCUGUCCCCUCCCUGUCACCACUGUCCCUUUGGUGUCACCGUGUCACUCGCUGUCACCACCUCUCCCGCAGUGCCACUCCCCGUCCCUCAGUACGGACCCUUUGGUGGCACCCCGUGUCCCCUCGGUGUCACCACCUCCCCCCAUUGCCCCCAUUGUCCCCAAUAACCCAAAGUCCCCAUUGUCCCCACUGCCCCUAUUACCCCCAUUGCCCCCAUUGCCCCCAUAUUCCCCAAUGUCCCCAAUCCCCCCAAUGUCCCCAAUCCUCCCAACCCCCCAUUGCCCCCCAAUCCCCCCAUUGUCCCCAUCGCCCCCAAUCCCCCCAAUGCCCCCAAUGUCCCCAAUGUCCCCACUGUCCCCAUUGCCCCCAUUGCCCCCAUUGUCCCCAAUGUCCCCAUUGAACCCAUUGUCCCCAAUUCUCCCGUUGCCCCCAGUGUCCUCAUUGCCCCCAAUGUCCCCACUGUCCCCAAUUCCCCCAUUGCCCCCAAUGUCCCCUUUGAACCCAUUGCCUCCAAUGCCCCCAUUGCCCCCAUUGUCCCCAUAGAUCCCAAUGUCCCCAAUCCCCCCAGUAUCCCCACUGUCCCCAUUGCCCCCAUAUUCCCCAAUGCCCCCAUUGCCCCCAUUGCCCCCAAUGCCCCCAAUGCCCCCAGNNNNNNNNNNNNNNNNNCCCCCAAUGCCACCAAUGUCCCCACUGCCCCCAUUGCCCCCAUUGCCCCCAAUCCCCCCAAUGCCCCCAUUGCCCCCACUGCGUCCAAUUCCCCCAUUGUCCCCAAUGCCCCCAUUGCCCCCAAUAUCCCCUUUGAACCCAUUGCCCCCAGUGCUGCCAUUACCUCCAUUGCCCCCAUUCUCCCCAAUUCCUGCAAUCCUCCCAUUGCCCCCAUUACCCCCAAUGUCCCCAUUGCCCCCAAUGUCCCCAAUGUCCCCAAUCCUCCCAACCCCCCCAUUUCCCCCUGUUACCCCCAUUACCCCCAACCCCUUCAUUGCCCCCAUUACCCCCAAACC
rnacentral:lncRNA from 1 species